GAGGCAAAGAAGCACCACUCUGACAUGGAAAAUAAUUUCCGUUGUCAGAUUAUUCUUGUUUAACUUGGUUUAACUUUAUAGUAGGGUUAAAUGUGGCAUUUGAAGGUUGGUGAGUAACAACAUCUUUUAAAACAUGGUGAAUUCCAACAAGAAAAGACCAAGGCAACAGACGCAUGAGAGUGAGGUAUUUAUCUGAGGGCGAUUGAAGUCACCAGCUUAACAGUAGUGGAAAGACCUUAAGCCAGAGAACUCCAGGUUCAAGAACCACCACCUGCAAACUUGGCAAAUUUGGACAAAUGUCUCUCUGAGUUUCAUUGUCUUCAUCCACAAAUAAAGCAAGAUUACUUCGCCUACAGAAUUGCGAAAUUAUGACCAGACCAUGAGGGUAUGAAGGAUGAGGAAAAGGGAGCAGUCAUGGAGCUGUUUUGGAGGGAGUCAUAAUUCCUUAGACCUCUGACAACUGGAACUCUCAAUCUGCCAGUGAAAGCUGACAUGAGCCCAAUAAGGAUGGUCUUUUCUAUUCAAAGAUAGGGACACCCUCUUUUUAAAGGACAUUCAAUUCAAAUGUAUCUUCUCUGGUUAAAGUAUGGUGAAGUCUGUCCUGUGGGCACUCCCCAUUGACUCCUAGCAGCUCUUGAGCCCCAUCUUCAGGAUCCGUACUUUGAUAGUCACUGACAAUUAGCUUUGAAAAUCUAUAGUUCCAAUCCUGUGAAAUGAGAAGAAUGUUGAAGCUAUAAAGGAGGUCUUUGCCUGCAUUCAGAUUCUGACACCAAAGACUCCUCUGAUUAUACUGAAGUAUGUAAGAAAACCUUCUCUUGAAAUCAAGGACCAUUUCUCUUCAUCUUAUCUUGAGCUACAUACCAAAUAUGAG
rnacentral:lncRNA from 1 species